CAGUCGCCGCGGGAAUACGGAGGAUCCAAGCGUUAUCCGGAAUCAUUGGGUUUAAAGGGUCCGUAGGCGGUCUUGUAAGUCAGUGGUGAAAGCCCAUCGCUCAACGGUGGAACGGCCAUUGAUACUGCAGGACUUGAAUUAUUGGGAAGUAACUAGAAUAUGUAGUGUAGCGGUGAAAUGCUUAGAGAUUACAUGGAAUACCAAUUGCGAAGGCAGGUUACUACCAAUUGAUUGACGCUGAUGGACGAAAGCGUGGGUAGCGAACAGGAUUAGAUACCCCGGUAGUCCCUGUCUCUUAUAA
rnacentral:rRNA from 1 species